AUCGACUAAAGAAUACAAAGCAUGCUGAAUAUAUGCUUAUUCCAUACAACCCAGAUUUCCAUUGGGUGUUAGUGGCAUUGGAGAUGAAGAAAAUGAUUGCAUAUUACCUUGAUCCAAUGGCCUGUCAACCAUGUGAUGAUCUUAAGGACAUAGUUAACAUGGCAAUGAGAAUCAACCCACCGGAAAAACAGAAAACAUCAAAGAGGGAGCCAACUUGGGUGAAAGUGGUUGUAAGUACUUAUUUGUUUAGAUUAAAAUAUAUUGCUUCACCACUUAAUUUAUGACAAAAUUAGAAAAUGAAUGGUUA